AGUUGGUUUUAAAGUCUUGUUUAAAGUCAGACACUCGGACUAAAAGUGAGGACUACGUGAAACACUCAAUACGACCUAAAAUUGUUUAGUGAUAUUUUCGUGCAAGCCCGUUAGGGCAUAAUUAAAAAUUUAAACUGGCGGGCCCGGUGGUCCCGGCGGACCCAUGACUCCGGGCAGCCCGUCGACGCCUGGCUCGCCCUUCAGCCCCUGGGCACCUUCGGACCCCCGGGCGCCUCUGGCUCCAGGCACUCCGGUGGCUCCCUGGAUAAAUGGAAGCGGAAGCGAGACAUCCAGAAGCAGGACAAGAAGUGUAUCGGCGGGGAUGGAGCGGUAUGAAAGGGAAGAAACGUCGCCGGCAGCGACAGAGAAAUAAAUCACAUUAGUGGGCGUGCAUAUAACGUGUCCUGCGUCCUUAAAGCUACAAAUCUACGUCUAUAGGGC
ensembl:ncRNA asRNA:CR45832 antisense RNA:CR45832